rnacentral:rRNA from 1 species
GACGAACGCUGGCGGCGUGCUUAACACAUGCAAGUCGAACGGUGAAGCGCCUUCCUUUUUGGUGGGUGUGGAUGAGUGGCGAACGGGUGAGUAACACGUGAGUAACCUGCCCCCUUCUUCUGGAUAACCGCAUGAAAGUGUGGCUAAUACGGGAUAUUCUGGCUCUGUCGCAUGAUGGGUCUGGGAAAGGUUUUUUUCUGGUGGGGGAUGGGCUCGCGGCCUAUCAGCUUGUUGGUGGGGUGAUGGCCUACCAAGGCGGUGACGGGUAGCCGGCCUGAGAGGGUGGACGGUCACACUGGGACUGAGACACGGCCCAGACUCCUACGGGAGGCAGCAGCGGGGAAUAUUGCACAAUGGGCGCAAGCCUGAUGCAGCGACGCCGCGUGAGGGAUGGAAGGGCUUCGGGUUGUGAACCUCUUUCGCCAGUGAAGCAGGCCUGCCUCGUUUGUGGGUGGGUAGA